GCCUAACACAUGCAAGUCGAGCGGUAACAGGAAAGAAGCUUGCUUCUUUUGCUGACGAGCGGCGGACGGGUGAGUAAUGCCUGGGAACAUGCCUUAGUGUGGGGGAUAACCAUUGGAAACGAUGGCUAAUACCGCAUAACGUCUACGGACCAAAGAGGGGGAUCUUCGGACCUCUCGCGCUAAGAUUGGCCCAGGUGGGAUUAGCUAGUAGGUGGGGUAAAGGCUCACCUAGGCGACGAUCCCUAGCUGGUCUGAGAGGAUGAUCAGCCACACUGGAACUGAGACACGGUCCAGACUCCUACGGGAGGCAGCAGUGGGGAAUAUUGCACAAUGGGGGAAACCCUGAUGCAGCCAUGCCGCGUGUGUGAAGAAGGCCUUCGGGUUGUAAAGCACUUUCAGUUGUGAGGAAGGUUCAUACGUUAAUAGCGUAUGGAUUUGACGUUAGCAACAGAAGAAGCACC
rnacentral:rRNA from 1 species